rnacentral:lncRNA from 10 species
AAACAGACUAAUACAGUGACCUUAGGAUGAAGUUGUUCUCCGGAGUUCCAUUAUCUGCCUAAAGUACCAACCUGCCAAAGAAGAGAACCAUUGCCUUUUGUUUCUUCCCUGAGUUUUCAUUAACUAAAUUCAUAUCACAGGAAGAAAGACUGAAGCCUAUCAAUGCACCUGGACCGGCUUAUGUCACAAACCGUUGCCUGCUCUGUGGUCCCAACAGAUGUUGUCCCAGGCCAUUGUACAUCCUUCAAGCCAAUUGAAUCCCCUCUAAAAAUCAUUUACUACCCCCCUGAAAUCAUCCACACUUCCCCAUCUCCCUUUCCCCUGUGAAGAUGUAUAUAACCGUUGGUAUCCCACUACGUAGUGGAUGGAGUCAUCACUCUGAUAUUCC